AGCAAACACGUCCAUAAGCAUCAAAGUGCUCUGAGUGUAGGUGAGUUCACAGAAGACCAUCCCAUGGUGGAAGAAAGCGUCUCUUUAGUCGGGAGCAAGAAGCAGAAAUCACCACCCUGGUGUUGCUAAAUAAUGCCAUCAGACUCAAAUACAAACACAAAUGAAGAAAGACGACACCAUACUCCACAUCAGAAGGAAUGUUUCCACAUCAACCACUGGCCACUUACUGAGAAGACAUAGGAGGAGUAUGAAACAAAUAUAUUGGAGAAGAAUUCUGAUCAUGUGAAAGAAAUGUGACAUGCGCGUGUACAAAGUAUAUUUAAGCAUGAAAUGAACGCUGACCAGAUUGAAAACAUCUACACUCAAGAGGCUGCUCUCAGUUUGUCCAAAAGGCACUGCAGAGACAGGAACACCAGAGGACGAAGAGCUACAGUGGACGUCCCUGCUGGUGAGGGAGGUGUAUGAUCGGAGCCCAUAUGCGGGUCUGUCUGAGACAGUGUCUGCAGGCAAUGUCUUGAGGAACCUAACAGGUGUAGUUUUGAGAGAGAUGGGUGGGGUUGGAACGUGUCCCCUUCACAGUCUUUAGGGGGUGAAAUGUCCUCCCCGGUAAUUCCUGCUCACAGGAUCUUGUGAUUUUGUUUUUAACGGUGUGAUGUGUUUUCUUCUGGCUGUUAGGAUUUUAAAAUAAACAAUUUUAGGCCAAAUCUGUCACAUUUGGGUUACUGUGGUGGGCGGGAGGCGGAGUUCGUGCUGGGUGCCCCUCCCCUAAUCACGGACAGUGACUACAGACUCAUGGAGGAGCCACAGCACAAACGCACAGUUCUCACCAGCAGGGUAGACAGGACGCUGUAGCCUUCCGGCCACGGAGAGACCUCUGAGAGAGACUGUUAAAGAGUCUUACAGGUACUAAAGGUUGUGUCAAGAUGGGAUUAGUGCACUGUGUAAAUAAAGCACUUUGGGUUGACUUGCAAUAAUGUGUGUGUGCGUGUGUGUGUCUCUGAGCUUGUUUUUGGCAUAUUCGUUACGUCCUCACGUGGAUAAUGCAGUGUGUUCCUUCAGCAUACUAGUGAGGUAAACUGAAUGUGUUUUCUGUAAUAAUGUGAAACAUUGCUGGUCUGUUAGCUAGCGCAAGCCAUAGCCAAACCCUGGAUUAAAAAUGGAAGACACAUUCUGGAGUUUAGUUUGUUAGCUAUAGCCAGUUAACUUGCUAGUUUUGUAACGUAACAGUAACGUGUUUUGUCAUCCAUAGAGCAAAGCUUCGACAUUUAACCGUGUAGUCAUGUGACUGCGUGAUUUGUCAAUUUACUACUAACGCUGCUUAUCUGUUGUAAAACUGGCAUGAGUGUAGUUUUUGGAGGGGGGGUUGUGUCUACCCCAAAUAA